ACACGUAGGGGGCGAGCGUUGUUCGGAAUCAUUGGGCGUAAAGGGCGCGUAGGCGGCCCGGUAAGUCUGGAGUGAAAGUCCUGCUUUUAAGGUGGGAAUUGCUUUGGAUACUGUCGGGCUUGAGUGCAGGAGAGGUAAGUGGAAUUCCCAGUGUAGCGGUGAAAUGCGUAGAGAUUGGGAGGAACACCAGUGGCGAAGGCGACUUACUGGACUGUAACUGACGCUGAGGCGCGAAAGCACGGGGAGCAAACAGGAUUAGAUACCCGGGUAGCCCUGGCCGUAAACGAUGUGGACUUGGUGUUGGGAUGGCCUCGAGCUGCCCCAGUGCCGAAGGGAAGCUGUUAAGUCCACCGCCUGGGAAGUACGGUCGCAAGACUGAAACUUAAAGGAAUUGGCGGGG
rnacentral:rRNA from 1 species